rnacentral:rRNA from 1 species
CUCCUAAAUGCGCUGGGCUGCACGCGCAAUACACUGACUUCGACAGCGAGCUUUUGCCUGCACCUGGACCGAAGGGUCUGGGGAAACUUUGAGCCGAAGUCGUGAUGGGGAUUGAUGCUUGAAAUUAUUCUCCAUGAACGAGGAAUAUCUUGUAGGCGCGUUUCAUCAGAACGCACCGAAUACGUCCCUGGUUCUUGUACACACCGCCCGUCGUUGCCUGUAAUGGGUUGCGAGUAGAGCCAUUUGGAGAUUGCGGGUUCGCUUGCGAUCAAAAUUUGGCAAUACUCGCAACCUAGAAGAGGCAAAAGUCGUAACA